AAUGUAAACGCUAUUAAAGGACUUGGGAGGCGAUUCUUUCUCUGUUUUCUGAGGAAAAUGCAGCUGAAACUUAAAAAGAUUUGACUGGAAGCAGCGGUCCAGAUGUAGAGUUUUGGAAGUGUGGCAGAACAAAAUUGAGAACGUCUUUGAGAUCCAGCUUCCGCAAACCACUUUUCGCACUUUUUAAAAGCGAAAGUAAGGGAA